AGUUCUUGGACUCUGCACCAACCCUAAGGAGGAGGAAAGAAUAGUUGCAUAUUUGGAAAUCAAAGUUCAGAUCAACAUACGAAGAGAAAUAUGAAGAUGAUUGUGAUGGGUGCUUGCAAGUUUUAAAAAGUGACCAGAUGCUCAAAUGGUUUAGUAUCGGAAAUCUUUACCUCACAAACCCCUAGAAAUUGAGACAGAAUUUUGACUUUGAAUGUGACUUACAUAAUUUGUGUUCAUUCAUGGGAGAAUCUUGACCAUGAAAGUGUCUCAUUGUAGUGAUGAGCUAUAGCCACAGGAUGUUCAAGAGCCGUUGCAAAGUGACACUAAUAGGAGCAGGAGAUUCAGCAGUUACCUGGAGGGUAUGAUGUCUAAAAAGACAAGUUCAGAUACAAAAUAAACCCAUCUGUCAGAAGACAUGAAAAACUGGAUCAAGACCUCAAUAUAUCCAUUUUUUCUAGCUCUGCCUUUCUGGACUCUGUGCUUCACCAGUAGAGGAACCUCAUGGGACACUAAUUAGUUCUUGCAACUAUAGAACCAUGA